rnacentral:rRNA from 1 species
UACGAAGGGGGCUAGCGUUGCUCGGAAUCACUGGGCGUAAAGCGCACGUAGGCGGCUUUCUAAGUCAGGGGUGAAAUCCUGGAGCUCAACUCCAGAACUGCCUUUGAUACUGGAGAGCUAGAGUCCGGAAGAGGUGAGUGGAACUGCGAGUGUAGAGGUGAAAUUCGUAGAUAUUCGCAAGAACACCAGUGGCGAAGGCAGCUCGCUGGGACGGUACUGACGCUGAGACG